AUUCCAGCUCCAAUAGCGUAUAUUUAAGUUGUUGCGGUAAAAAGACUCGUAGUUGGAUUUCUGUUGAGGACGACCGGUCCAUACCAUGUAUGCGCAUCUGGUUUCGGCCUCGGCAUCCUCUCGAGAUGCGUUUCUGCGCUUGAUUGCGUGGGCGUGGCGUCGGACGUUUACUUUGUAGGAAGUUAAGUAGUGUUCUACGG
rnacentral:rRNA from 1 species